GACACUUUGUCCGAGUGGUUAAGGAGACGCCCUGCUAUGCCUGGAAGACUCACUUCCCUGCUGUCAGGCGUUGGGUUCUGCCCGCGCGAGUUCGAAUCUCGUAGGUGUCG